UCUGGAUCAAUGAUGUUACUGAUAUUCUGCGUUAUCUAUCUGAAAAUUAUUUUGAGUUGAAGCUAACAUUCUGAGAUCCUGA